rnacentral:rRNA from 1 species
GGGCUCCUCCCAAAGAGUAACGGAGGAGUACGAAGGUGCGCUCAGACCGGUCGGAAAUCGGUCGUAGAGUAUAAAGGCAAAAGCGCGCUUGACUGCGAGACAAACACGUCGAGCAGGUACGAAAGUAGGUCUUAGGAUCCGGUGGUUCUGUAUGGAAGGGCCAUCGCUCAACGGAUAAAAGGUACUCCGGGGAUAACAGGCUGAUACCGCCCAAGAGUUCAUAUCGACGGCGGUGUUUGGCACCUCGAUGUCGGCUCAUCACAUCCUGGGGCUGAAGCCGGUCCCAAGGGUAUGGCUGUUCGCCAUUUAAAGUGGUACGCGAGCUGGGUUUAGAACG